rnacentral:rRNA from 1 species
AUUGAACGCUGGCGGCAGGCCUAACACAUGCAAGUCGAGCGAAUGAAGAGAGCUUGCUCUCUGAUUUAGCGGCGGACGGGUGAGUAAUGCCUAGGAAUCUGCCUGGUAGUGGGGGAUAACGUUCCGAAAGGAACGCUAAUACCGCAUACGUCCUACGGGAGAAAGCAGGGGACCUUCGGGCCUUGCGCUAUCAGAUGAGCCUAGGUCGGAUUAGCUAGUUGGUGAAGUAAUGGCUAACCAAGGCUACGAUCCGUAACUGGUCUGAGAGGAUGAUCAGUCACACUGGAACUGAGACACGGUCCAGACUCCUACGGGAGGCAGCAGUGGGGAAUAUUGGACAAUGGGCGAAAGCCUGAUCCAGCCAUGCCGCGUGUGUGAAGAAGGUCUUCGGAUUGUAAAGCACUUUAAGUUGGGAGGAAGGGCAGUAAGUUAAUACCUUGCUGUUUUGACGUUACCGACAGAAUAAGCACCGGCUAACUUCGUGCCAGCCGCCGCAGUAAGAC